AGCAGAUAAAGCAACAGAGGCGUUUCCCAUGUGCAGGAAGGUAGUGGGAUAUCUUAGCUAAGAGCCCAGGUUCUGCACGCAGAUGGCCGCCAUCACGUCCCAGCUCCACCACCUACCAGCUGGACGACGUGGGGAACCAGUUCAGCCUCUGUUCUUUGUCGAUGAAAAGAGGAUAAUAACAGAGCCUUUCUCGCCGGGCCGCCAUCAGGACUUAUGAGCACAGUAGCGUGAAGCUCUGAGCACAGCACCAGACACAUCAGUAAAUGGAGCCAUCGGGCACGUCCCGUGGAGUUGCUCUGAGGGAAGCCAGCUGCCACAUAGUGAGCUGCCCUAUGGAGUGGUCCACGUGGCGAGGAGCUGAGCAUAGCCUCUGGCCAACAGCCCUCAAGAAAGUGAAUCCUGCCAAUGACCAUGUAAGUGACCUUGGAAGAGCACCCACCUGCAGUGGAGCCUGAAGAUGCGGCCACAGCCCCAGCUCACAUCUUGAUUCCAGCCUGUGUGACAGAGCCCAAACCAGACAACCCAACUAAGUCAUGCCAGAUUCUUCACCCAGAGAAACUGUGAGGUCAUGAAUCUGGGUGAGUUUAUGCCCCUGGGUUUGAGGAUGGUUUGUUACACAGCAGUAGAUAACAAAUACAAGGAUCAAACAUAGGUUGGAGUGAUGCCAAAGGCCUUGUUCGUUGGCUUCUCUCUGUGUAUUUUUUUAAAUCACAGGAGUAAUAUUGUAUUAAUAUUAAUACAAUCUUCUGUAUUAAUUAAUUCUUUGUUUAGAAGAAGAAGAAUAAAUUUUUGUUUAGAAUUCAAACAGAAAGAUAUAUAAAAUUAAAAUCAGAAGCUCCUCUUCACCCUUCUCCAUACUCCUUAUCAUCUACGUGCUCUGCAGAGGAACCGCUGCUCACAGUUUUGUGUAGCCUUUCUGAUCUUUCCUAUAAAUUUAUAUAUACAUACAUAAUUUUAUUAUGUCAUAAACAGGGUCCCCCAAACAUA